rnacentral:rRNA from 1 species
CCUACGGGAGGCAGCAGUGAGGAAUAUUGGUCAAUGGACGCAAGCCUGAACCAGCCAUGCCGCGUGCAGGAAGACGGCCCUCUGAUUUGUAAACUGCUUUUGUACGAGGGUAAACGCAGAUACGCGUACCUUUUUGUAAGUACUUUACGCAUAAGGAUCGGCUAACUCCGUGCCAGCAGCCGCGGUAAUACGGAGGGUCCAAUCGUUAUCCGGAUUUAUUGGGUUUAAAGUGAGCGUAGCCGGUCUGUUAAGUUAGAGGUGAAAUUCCGGGGCUCAACUUAGGAAUUGCCUCUGAUACUGGUCGGCUAGAGUGUAGUAGCGGUAGGCAGAAUGUAUGGUGUAGCGGUGAAAUGCUUAGAGAUCAUACAGAACACCGGUUGCGAAGGCAGCUUACCAGGCUACUUCUGACGUUGAGGCACGAAAGCGUGGGGAGCAAACAGGAUUAGAUACCCCUGUAGUC